rnacentral:rRNA from 1 species
AGAGUUUGAUCCUGGCUCAGGAUGAACGCUAGCGAUAGGCUUAACACAUGCAAGUCGAGGGGCAGCAUGGUCUUAGCUUGCUAAGACUGAUGGCGACCGGCGCACGGGUGCGUAACGCGUAUGCAACUUGCCUCACAGAGGGGGAUAACCCGUCGAAAGACGGACUAAUACCGCGUACACUCCAGCUUGGGCAUCCAGGCUAGAGGAAAUGAAAUUCGCUGUGAGAUAGGCAUGCGUCCCAUUAGCUAGUUGGUGAGGUAACGGCUCACCAAGGCGACGAUGGGUAGGGGAACUGAGAGGUUGAACCCCCACACUGGUACUGAGACACGGACCAGACUCCUACGGGAGGCAGCAGUGAGGAAUAUUGGUCAAUGGGCGAGAGCCUGAACCAGCCAAGUCGCGUGAAGGAUGACUGUCUUAUGGAUUGUAAACUUCUUUUGUAGGGGAAUAAAGAAUGGUACGUGUACCAUAGUGAAUGUACCCUACGAAUAAGCAUCGGCUAACUCCGUGCCAGCAGCCGCGGUAAUACGGAGGAUGCGAGCGUUAUCCGGAUUUAUUGGGUUUAAAGGGUGCGUAGGCGGCCUGUUAAGUCAGCGGUGAAAUCUAGGGGCUUAACUCCUAAAUUGCCAUUGAUACUGGUGGGCUUGAGUGUAGAUGAGGUAGGCGGAAUGCGUGGUGUAGCGGUGGAAUGCAUAGAUAUCACGCAGAACUCCAAUUGCGAAGGCAGCUUACUAAGGUACAACUGACGCUGAAGCACGAAAGCGUGGGUAUCAAACAGGAUUAGAUACCCUGGUAGUCCACGCAGUAAACGAUGAUAACUGGGCGUAUGCGAUAUACAGUAUGCUCCUAAGCGAAAGCGUUAAGUUAUCCACCUGGGGAGUACGCCGGCAACGGUGAAACUCAAAGGAAUUGACGGGGGCCCG